rnacentral:rRNA from 1 species
GAACGCUGGCGGAGUGCCUAACACAUGCUAGUCGAGCGGCACCACGAGUAAUUUACUAUUUGGUGACUAGCGGCGGACAGCUGACUAACUCGUGGGAACUAUGCCCCAAAGUGAGGAAUAACUGCCCGAAAGGGUACCUAAUGCCACAUAUGAUCUUCGGAUUGAUGUAUUUAUACGCUAUGAGAGCGGUCCGCGUCCGAUUAGAUAGCUGGUGAAGUAUACGCUCACCGAGUCUACGAUCGGUCACUGAUUUUAGAAGAUGAUCAGUCACACUGGAACUGAGACACGGUCCAGACUCCUACCGGAGGCAACCGUGAGGAAUCUUCCCCAAUGGACCAAAGUCUGAUGGAACAACUCCCCGUGCAGGAAGAAAGCCUUCGGGGCCAAAACUGCUUUUUUGACUGAAAAAAAUGACCGGUACUCAUGAAUUAAGGUCCCGCUACUACGUGCCAGCAGCCGCCGUCAUACGUAAGACCCGAGCGUUAUCCGGAGUGACUGGGCGUAAAGAGUUGCGUAGGUGGUCACUAAAGCGAAUAGUGAAAUCUGGUGGCUCAACCACUCACGCUAUUAUUCGAACUCACUGACUCAAGAAUGGUAGAGGUAACUGGUAUUUCUUGUGUAGGAGUGAAAUCCGUAGAUAUAAGAAGGAACAGCAAUGGCGUAGGCAGGUUACUGGACCAUGUGUGACACUGAGGCACGAGAGAGUGGGGAGCGAACCGGAUUAGAUACCCGGGUAGUCCACGCGGUAAACGAUGGAUACUAGCUGUUGGAGGUAUCGACCCCUUCAGUAGAGAAGCUAACGCGUUAAGUAUCCCGCCUGUGGAGUACGGUCGCAAGACUAAAACAUAAAGGAAUUGACGGGGACCCGCACAAGCGGUGGAUUGUGUUCUUUAAUUAGAUGCUAAACGAAGAACCUUAUCAGGGUUUGACAUCCUUGGAAUUACUCCGAAAGGAGUGAGUGCUUUAUUGAGCCAAGUGACAGGUGUUGCAUGGCUGUCGUCAGCUAGUGUCGUGAGAUGUUUGGUUAAGUCCAUCAACGAGCGCAACCCUUGUGAUUAGUUGUAUUUUUCUAAUCAGAGUGCCCCGGUAACGGGGAGGAAGGAGGGGAUGAUGUCAGGUCAGUAUUACCCUCACACCCUGGGCUAGAAACACGAUACAAUGGUCAGUACAACGAGCAGUGAAUCCGCGAGGUGGAGCAAAUCGCACCAAAGCUGAUCCCAGUUGGGAUAAGAGGGUGAAACUCGCCUCUUUGAAGUCGGAAUCGCUAGUAAUCGGAAGUCAGCAAAUUCCGGUGAAUACGUUCCCGGGCCUUGUACACACCGCCCGUCAAACCAUGAAAGU